CUAGCCUUUCUCCAGCAGUUUUCUCACAGACAUUUAGUCUUGGCAUAGAAAAAGGUCUAGAUUCACUAAAUUACCUUGGUUAUCUCUGGUGAAGCUAAGAUUAGGUGUUGAGAUUGAAGGAGACUGUCAGGUUUAAACUUUUUCAGUGAAUCCUUACAGCAACCCAGAGAGAUUGGUUCUAUUAUUUUUCCCAUCGUUUGCAGGAGGAAUCAAGGUUCAGAGAGGUUAAGUAACUUGCCUAAGGUCACACAGCUGGACAGCUGAUAGUUGCACAGACAGGGUUUGAACUCAGCCAAUCUGGCUCCAAAGUCUGGAAAUCUAAAUACUGUGUUAUGAGAGGAAGCACUGGAAGGUUGGUGAUCUGUUGUAACCCUUGAAGACUGCACAGUACUCAGAAACAUUGGCAUGCCAUUUAAGGCCCCUUAGGAUCUGGUCCUAGCUACGCUGCUAUUC
rnacentral:lncRNA from 1 species